rnacentral:rRNA from 1 species
ACCUGCCGAAAGGCAGACUAAUACCGCAUAGUCUUCGAUGACGGCAUCAGAUUUGAAGUAAAGAUUUAUCGGUAAUGGAUGGGGAUGCGUCUGAUUAGCUUGUUGGCGGGGUAACGGGCCCACCAAGGCUACGAUCAGUAGGGGUUCUGAGAGGAAGGUCCCCCACCAUUGGAACUGAGACACGGUCCAA